rfam:Triticum aestivum genome assembly, contig: Triticum_aestivum_CS42_TGACv1_scaffold_130085_2BL
UUACUACUCCCUCCGUCCGAAAAAGCUUGUCCCAAGCUUGUUCAUCAAAUGGAUGUAUCUAGCACUAACUUGAUGCUAGAUAUAUCCAUUUGAGGGACAAGCUUUUUUGGACGGAGGGAGUAUUAU